AUGCGAGGCGGCGACGCGGAGNGAACCCCAAAAAUAAAGCCCCAGUUCGGAUUGCAGGCUGCAACCCGCCUGCAUGAAGCCGGAAUCGCUAGUAAUCGCGGAUCAGAAUGCCGCGGUGAAUACGUUCCCGGGUCUUGUACACACCGCCCGUCACACCAUGGGAGCCGGGAAUGCCCGAAGUCAGUGGCCCAACCGCGAGGGGGGAGCUGCCGAAGGCAGGCCCGGUGACUGGGGUGAAGUCGUAACAAGGUAAC
rnacentral:rRNA from 1 species